UGUUGAAGGAGGCUGUUGAGGUGGUGGAUAUAAUAGAAUUGCUCCCUCGUUGCAGGAGGUCUUUGAGUUUCUUAUGUCCCAGAUGCAGUGUGACUAGACUUUUCAAGUUCUUUACAUCUUCAUAUCCAUGUCAUGAUGGACUACCCUCCCUCACAUAUAUAGGAAAAUAGAGAUGCCCAUCUCCAAGUAAUCAAAAGUCCUUGGACAUCGUUCUGUCUAAAGAAGAAGGGAAAGACUGGGUGUUGGUGGCAUAUGCCUUUAAUGCCAGCACUCAGGAGGCAGA